UCCAAAGGAAGCUGUUGCUGUUAUAAAGAUAUCAUCAUCUAGGAUGGCCACGUAAUCCGAACGCCUAGGCUAUGAAUUUGCGAAGUGGUUGGGCAUCCAAACUCCUCAGGCCAGAGUCAUUCAUAAUUCUAGCCCCGAAUGGCUUCAAAUAAAGGAAGCUGCAGAGCAAGCAAAAAUGACAGCAAUUUCAGAGGGAGAUGAUAUUGGUGAAGUGACAUGUGCAGAACUCUUGGAAGCUCUUGAGCUCGGUUGAUGCCUUCUUCUGAUGAGUUAUGUACAUGGUUCUCCGUUAAUGAAAAGUUCAGCUGCAUUUGAGUCUCGGGAAG